GGAAAUCAAAAAGCAUAACCUAACCUUGUUCGGUUCUUCAAUUCCACCAUUAACGUACUAUCUUCUACCCCAAAACACAUUUUAUUCAUUCAGACUCACCGAUUACGCUCUCUCAAUCCAAUUCACUCUCAAACUCUGUUCACAACUCAUCAAUUUUCAACUCUCUUUCUCAAUUCCCAAACCCAAUGCCCUUUUCACAAUCUCCUCACGAACCCUAAUCAACCGCAACCACUUCGUCCUUCGUUCCAUCCAUUGCUGAGUAUCUCGUUUUUCUGCUUUCAACUCAAGUUCGUGAUUUCUGCUUCUGCUCUAAUUUGUACCCCUUUUCGCGGUUUCUAAAGGUUUAUCUGUCAUAAACAUGGAUGAGGAUCAAGAGAUGGAGAGAUUUGGAAUGGAGAAUGAUUAUGAGGGUGGUCAAUGGAUUGGUGGUGAAUUCUACUACAAGAGUCGUAAAGAAAAGCGCACUCAGACAAAGGAUGAUGUUCUUUACGGAGUUUUUGCAGAUUCUGAUGACGAUGAUGAUUAUUCAAGUAGAAAACGGAGGAAGGACCGUGAUUUUUCAAAGAAGCAAGAUCUAACCAAGCCUGUGAAUUUUGUAUCUACAGGAACGUUUAUGCCCAAUCAGGAAAUUGAUAAUAAGUCCAAAGAGCAGAAUGAGAAAGAUGGUUAUGUUAGUGAGGAUAGGCCGGGCUUAGGGUCAGGUUUCGGUAUGGGGUCUGGUGGUACUUCUGGGUCUGGUCUAGGUUUUAAUUCUGGCAAUACAGCAAAUGGUUCAGAAAGAAAUGAUGAUUCUGAUGAGAACGGUCAUGAUAAUUUCUUGCCUACAGCAUUUGGGAAGAAGAUUAAGGAGGGGGCGAUGAGAAGGGAAAGAGAAAGGGAGAAGGAGAGGUUGGAGAAGAAGAGAGGGAAGCAUCAGAGUUCAGUUCAAGAUGGGUUUAGUGAUGUGGGGAAGUUUGAGAAGCAUACGAAAGGGAUAGGCAUGAAGUUGUUGGAGAAGAUGGGUUAUAAAGGAGGUGGACUUGGGAAGAAUGAGCAGGGUAUUGUAGCUCCUAUUGAGGCCAGAUUGAGGGCCAAGAAUUCUGGCAUAGGGUUUAAUGAGUCUAAGGAGACUAUGCCGUUGCCGGUUUUGCAGCAAGAGAAGAAGAAUGUGCAAGAGGUCUUGCAACCUGUGGUUGGCAAAACGAAGGAAAGGUUGUGGUCAAAGCAAGCAAGGUUGAAGAAAAAGAAGGAGGAAGAGUAUGUAACAGCUGAGGAGUUGUUGGCAAGCAAGCAAGAACAAGAGUUUGAGGUUGUUCAGAAGGUAUAUGAUAUGAGGGGGCCACAUGCUCGAGUAAUAAAUUUGUCUGAUUUGAAUGCCGAAGAGAAAGCAAAAGAAAAUGAUAUCCCAAUGCCAGAACUUCAGUAUAAUGUAGCGUUAAUAGUUGGGUUGGCUGAGGCUGACAUCCAACAAAUUGAUAGAGAUUUGAGGAGAGAGAGGGAGACAGCACUUAGCUUGAAAAAAGAAAAAGAGAAGUUAGAAACUGAGGCAGCAUUUCAGAAGAAGCAGCUGGAUAAUAUGGAGGAAAUAAAGCAUGUGUUAGACCACGUUGAAGAAGAAAACACUUUGGGAACAUUAACAUUGGAGUCCCUUGCUCAUUGCUUUAGGGAUUUACAUAAAAGAUACGCUGAUGACUACAAGUUGUGUAACUUGUCAUGCAUUGCUUGUUUUUAUGCUCUACCCCUGUUUAUCAGAGUGUUCCAAGGUUGGGAUCCUCUUCGAAAUCCAUCUCAUGGGUUGGAGUUGGUUUCAGAGUGGAAGGCAUUGCUUCGAGAAGAAGAUUCAGUUGAUAUAUGGGAUGUUUCAUCACCUUAUACUCAAUUGGUUUUAGAGGUUGUAUUACCAGCUGUAAGAAUAUCUGGUAUAAAUACCUGGCAGGCCCGGGAUCCUGAACCAAUGUUAUGGUUUCUGGAAUUGUGGGAAAAGUUACUUCCUCAAUCAGUCCUUGCCACCAUAUUAGACAAUAUAGUUAUGCCUAAGCUAUCGAGUGCUGUAGAUACUUGGGAACCACACCGUGAGACCAUUCCUAUCCACACUUGGGUGCAUCCAUGGCUACCUCUGCUGGGUCACAAGUUGGAGGGUAUUUACCAGGUGAUUCGAUUUAAAUUGAGUACUGUUCUUGGGGCCUGGCACCCAAGUGAUGGUUCUGCUUAUGCUAUAUUGUCUCCUUGGAAGUCUGUAUUUGAUUCUGCUAGUUGGGAACAACUUAUGCUUCGUUUUAUUGUACCAAAGUUGCAGCUUGUCUUGCAAGAGUUCCAAGUGAACCCAGCAAGUCAGAAUCUUGAUCAAUUUUAUUGGGUAAUGAACUGGGCUUCUGCUAUUCCUAUUCACCUAAUGGUUGAUAUGAUGGAGAAAUUCUUCUUUGCCAAAUGGCUUCAGGUUCUGUAUCAUUGGCUGUGCUCAAAUCCUAAUUUUGAAGAAGUUACAAAAUGGUAUUUGGGAUGGAAAGAACUCAUUCCAAAAGAACUGUUAGCAAAUGAAAGUAUCCGGUACCAACUUAAUCGCGGUCUUGAUAUGAUGAACCAGGCUGUUGAAGGUAUGGAGGUGGUCCAACCUGGUUUAAAGGAGAAUAUAAGCUAUCUUAGGGUACUUGAGCAGAGGCAAUUUGAGGCUCAACAGAAAGCAGCAGCUUAUGCUCAACAGCAAGCUGCAGCUAGCUUGGGCGGUGCAGUCAACGCGGAUGGCACUCAUGAAUUGAGCUUGAAAGAAGUCAUUGAGGCUCAUGCUCAGCAACAUGGUUUGCUGUUCAAGCUUAAACCUGGUAGAAUGCACAAUGGUCAUCAAAUAUAUGGGUUUGGUAAUGUCAGCAUAAUAAUAGACUCUCUUAAUCAAAAAGUAUACGCCCAGAACGAAGAAAUGUGGUCUAUGGAAUCUCUUCAGGGUUUGCUAGAGUUGCACAAUAAAUCCCUUAGUAAGAGGCGUUGAUUUCUGCAUUGACCAAUGUGAAGUAUCUGAAUUCUCAGGUGUUUAAAAACCAUGGUGCGUCUGCUGGUGCAUCAAUGAAUCAUUCUCAUGGUCGGAUGAUGGCCCACUAGUUAUUCCACCUAGUGUUUCUGUGCAUCUUGCAAGUAUGAAAGGGAUCUGAUGUGAGAGGCUGAAGCUGAGAAGCAGAUUGUGAAACACACAGACAUACAUAUCAUCAAUGGACUGCUGGCUAAAGUUCCCCGUGUUUCUGACCUGUGAAGAUAAAAGAAAUAUGUGUUAAGAUUGAUUAUCUGAUCAGAGCUGGUGGGAAACACUGCUUUCUGCAGAAGUCAGCAGUGGUGCUGCAGCAUAUGAACUCAGAACUUGGCAAGUAACUACAAGAGGAUUGUGAUAUCCUUGUAAGGGAUGGACCAACACCUCUUUAGAAUGGGACACUUUUUGGCAUGUGCCGGACACUUGUCUACUUGUUUCAAUAAAAAAUAAUAUUUAGUUCGGACACCUCUCCAACAUGGUUGGGACAUGUGCCAAGAAAGUAGUUGAAUAUGGAGGUUUGCUGAAACGAAUGCUCAGGAAGAUGUCUUCGCAGUUGAACAAUCCACCAUUCAACUAUACGAUUCAUCCCCGUCCACUUCAUGGUAAUGGGUCAAGAAUGCAUUCACUCAUUGCUUUAUACUUCUAAUACCUCUACUAACUGGGAUUGCGGAUUUUGAGCUGGGAAUGGGUGUUACAUAAAUCAUGUGUUUCCCGAGGGCGCUGCAAAGGUUCUAAGUGAAGUGAAAGUGGAAGUUCUAGUGAGGAUAAAGCGUGUGUUAAUAACCUAAUUUCUUUUAUUCACAUGUAUGAGGGUCAAGCAUUUUUGUUACAGUUUUUGUACUCUGAGCCUCCUAGUGAAGGAGUUUUGGUUCUCACAUACCAUUAAUCUUAGUCCUGAAAUCAUGAGGUAUUGGAAAACUGAAACAAACUAUUCAUGGUGUACUAGAUUCAUAGGGAAGACGAUAAUGCAGAAAGAGGAAAGGUAACUAAUUUUACAA